rnacentral:rRNA from 1 species
UACAGAGGUCCCAAGCGUUGUUCGGAUUCAUUGGGCGUAAAGAGCGUGUAGGCGGUCCGGUAAGUCGGCUGUGAAAGUCCAGGGCUCAACCCUGGGAUGCCGGUCGAUACUGCCGGACUAGAGUUCGGAAGAGGCGAGUGGAACUCCUGGUGUAGCGGUGGAAUGCGCAGAUAUCAGGAAGAACACCGACGGCGAAGGCAGCUCGCUGGGACGGUACUGACGCUGAGGCGCGAAAAGCGUGGGGGAGCAAACAGG